rnacentral:tRNA from 1 species
GGAGAGUAAAGGUCAGUGGUAGAGCACAUGCUUAGCAUGCAUGAGGUCCUGGGUUGAAUUCCCAGUGCCUCCA